AGUGAACGCUGGCGGUAGGCCUAACACAUGCAAGUCAAACGGCAGCACAGUAAGAGCUUGCUCUUACGGGUGGCGAGUGGCGGACGGGUGAGGAAUACAUCGGAAUCUACUUUUUCGUGGGGGAUAACGUAGGGAAACUUACGCUAAUACCGCAUACGACCUACGGGUGAAAGCAGGGGAUCUUCGGACCUUGCGCGAUUGAAUGAGCCGAUGUCGGAUUAGCUAGUUGGCGGGGUAAAGGCCCACCAAGGCGACGAUCCGUAGCUGGUCUGAGAGGAUGAUCAGCGACACUGGAAGUGAGACACGGUCCAGACUCCUACGGGAGGCAGCAGUGGGGAAUAUUGGACAAUGGGCGCAAGCCUGAUCCAGCCAUACCGCGUGGGUGAAGAAGGCCUUCGGGUUGUAAAGCCCUUUUGUUGGGAAAGAAAAGCAGCAGGUUAAUACCCCGCUGUUCUGACGGUACCCAAAGAAUAAGCACCGGCUAACUUCGUG
rnacentral:rRNA from 1 species